GUGUUGUAUAAAAGGAGAGAAGGUUAGCACUCCCCUUGACACGGAUGGAAGAGACCCUUGGGCCUAACAAUAAGCAUACAGUUAAGGCACUGGCCACCUACUUCAUGCCUAACCACUUGUUUUU